AAGCUUUCAGGUGAUUAAAGAGAAAUACCUCAGAAGCCACAUUUCCUCCCAUUCCACAGAUGGAAACGGAUGAGACACUGCUUAAUGUGGGAAAUACACCAAAUGCUGUAGUUUGAGCAUCAGAAAAGGCUCUCUGUAAAAUACAGCUGAAAAUGAGCAUGGAGCAUCAUCAUUUGGAAGGCAUCUUUAACAUUUCUCAGUUCUUCAUUAAAUUCUGAAAUGCAGCAAACAAGAGAGCCCAAGUAUGCAGGUCAAGUUGAAGAGUCAUGAGUCAGAUGUGGGACAUAGAAUCUGGCUGAAGAAUGGUGCCAAGUCGUGUGUCUCCAGAAACUUUUCGGAAUAAAAGGAAAUCUGAGUACUGAGCUGCCAAGUGAUUCUGGAACAAACUGACACUAGUCCAACCUGUUGUUAUGAAAUAUUUCUUACUUACUUGUGACAGUCCUCACUGAUUGGUGACAUGUUAAAUUUGACACUUCUGUCCAGUCUCCAAUUUUCCCAAAAGGGAGGUAAUUGUUUCUUUUGUUAUAAGUACUUUGUGGAUUCCUUUGUUAGACCUUGUUAUAUUGUACUUGUUUGCUUAGAGCCUAUCUUUUUAAAUAGGCUAUGAGCCCUUUUAAAACAAAAAUCAUGGUUAUCUCUGUAUCAAUAUCUUUCUGUACAAAUUAUUUCUGUACAAAUUAAUAGACAAAUAGAAACUUUUAACAAAUGUUCCUUCUGUUCUCCUUUGUCCAUUUGGGGUCUAGAGAAUUUUUAAUAAAUAUCAUUGAAGACACUAUAGGUUUAAAGUACAACUAAAAUUUCAUUUUAGUGAAUACCAUUCUCAUAUUUGGUGGAGGCUAUUUUCACAUCUUGACUCUUAGUCUGUAUUCAAACACUGUACUAUUUAGAGGGAUGUAAUUACUAGUCAUUUAAAUGCCUACAUGUGAAACAAAUAACUUAAUUUUUUGUGUAAAAUAAUUACAUUUUAUAUGUUAAGCAUUCUUAGUAAUG
rnacentral:lncRNA from 10 species